UGCUGUCGGAAUAAACAUUGAUAA
rnacentral:miRNA from 1 species